rnacentral:rRNA from 1 species
AUUGAACGCUGGCGGCAGGCCUAACACAUGCAAGUCGAGCGAGCGGCGGACGGGUGAGUAAUGUCUGGGACACUGCCUGAUGGCGGGGGAUAACUACUGGAAACGGUAGCUAAUACCGCAUACCCUCAAAUUUUCCCAGAUGGGAUUAGGUAGGGGGUGGGGUAACGGCUCACCUUGGCGACGAACCCUAGCUGGUCUGCGAGGAUGACCAGCCACACGGGAACUGAGACACGGUCCAGACUCCUACGGGAGGCAGCAGGGGGGAAUAUUGCACAAUGGGCGCAAGCCUGAUGCAGCCACGCGGCGUGGGUGAAGAAGGCCUUCGGGUUGUAAAGCACUGUCAGCGGGGAGGCGUUACCCGCAGAAGAAGCACCGGCUAACUCCGUGCCAGCAGCCGCGGUAAUAC